GCCUGGCUGGCUCAGUUGGUAGAGCAUGUGACUCUUGAUCUCACGGUCAUGAGUUUGAGACCCACAUUGGGCA
rnacentral:tRNA from 1 species